AUACGGAGGAUCCGAGCGUUAUCCGGAUUUAUUGGGUUUAAAGGGUGCGCAGGCGGGGGAUUAAGUCGGCGGUGAAAUUUUUUAGCUUAACUGUAAAAGUGCCUUCGAAACUUGGUUUCUUGAGUGUGGUUGAGGGAGGAGGAAUUUUUGGUGUAGCGGUGAAAUGCAUAGAUAUCACGAGGAACUCCGAUUGCGCAGGCAGCUUACUAAACUACUACUGACGCUCAGGCACGAAGGCGUGGGGAUCAAACAGGAUUAGAUACCCUGGUAGUCCACGCAGUAAACGAUGAUUACUAGCUGUUUGCGAUACAAUGUAAGCGGCUGAGCGAAAGCGUUAAGUAAUCCACCUGGGGAGUACGGUCGCAAGAAUGAAACUCAAAUGAAUUGACGGGG
rnacentral:rRNA from 1 species